UACGGGGGGGGUAAGCGUUGUUCGGAAUUACUGGGCGUAAAGGGCUCGUAGGCGGCCAACUAAGUCAGACGUGAAAUCCCUCAGCUUAACUGGGGAACUGCGUCUGAUACUGGAUGGCUUGGAUUCGGGAGAGGAAUGCGGAAUUCCUGGUGUAGCGGUGGAAUGCGCAGAUAUCAGGAGGAACACCGGUGGCGAAGGCGGUUCUCUGGGCAUUACCUGACGCUGAGGAGCGAAAGUGUGGGGAGCGAACAGG
rnacentral:rRNA from 1 species